rnacentral:rRNA from 1 species
UACAGGGGGCGCAAGCGUUGUCCGGAAUUAUUGGGCGUAAAGAGCUCGUAGGCGGUUUGUCGCGUCUGCUGUGAAAACCUAAGGCUCAACCUUGGGCUUGCAGUGGGUACGGGCAGACUAGAGUGCGGUAGGGGAGACUGGAAUUCCUGGUGUAGCGGUGAAAUGCGCAGAUAUCAGGAGGAACACCGGUGGCGAAGGCGGGUCUCUGGGAAUGACCUGACGCUGAGGGGCGAAAGUGUGGGGAGCGAACAGG